rnacentral:misc_RNA from 1 species
AGAGACUUGUUUAUAUCUGAACCUGUGCAUACACUGCUGUGGUAAAUAAAAUCUUUCUUAAUCAAUCACAAAUAGAAAAGAACUCCUCAUCUUCUUCAAAUAUCAAAUUAAGAGCAAGAGGACAACAGAAGAACAUUCAGUCAAACAAACUACAAACGUGAAGGAUAGAAACAGAGUUCGUCAUCUCCAAGUAAUUACAUCUUUUGUUUUACAAAAGAAAGGGAAAGCGUGAAGAAAACAAAGAAACGUCCAUCUCAACAACAGCCACUUGUUGAUGCAUCAGAUUCCGGAGGUUUCUGUCUAAAUAUAUUUUUCCUGACGCCAGCUGAACCUUCAGCCAAGAGACUUGGAGUGUCCAAAAUCUUCAGCACAAGCUCCUCAAAGCACUGUUCCACAUUAACCCUCGUCUUUGCACUGCAUUCGAUGAAAAGACAUCCAUAUUCCCUGGCAAAAUCAAUUCCCUCUUUUUUGCUGACAACCCUUUCACUCUCCUUAUCAACUUUGUUGCCUACAAGCAUCUUGAUGCACUCCUGAUUUGUUGAGUACAGGUCGAUUUCUUUGGCCCAUAUAUCAGAGAGAUUAGUAAAUGU